rnacentral:rRNA from 1 species
CCUACGGGAGGCAGCAGUAGGGAAUCUUCCACAAUGGGCGCAAGCCUGAUGGAGCCACGCCGCGUGAGUGAAGAAGGUCUUCGGAUCGUAAAACCCUGUUGUUAGAGAAGAAAGUGCGUGAGAGUAUCUGUUCACGUUUCGACGGUAUCUAACCAGAAAGCCACGGCUAACUACGUGCCAGCAGCCGCGGUAAUACGUAGGUGGCAAGCGUUAUCCGGAUUUAUUGGGCGUAAAGGGAACGCAGGCGGUCUUUUAAGUCUGAUGUGAAAGUCUUCGGCUUAACCGGAGUAGUGCAUUGGAUACUGGGAGUCUUGAGUGCAGUAGAGGUGGGUGGAACU